rnacentral:rRNA from 2 species
UGGCGGCGUGCCUAAUACAUGCAAGUCGAGCGAACUGAUUAGAAGCUUGCUUCUAUGACGUUAGCGGCGGACGGGUGAGUAACACGUGGGCAACCUGCCUGUAAGACUGGGAUAACUCCGGGAAACCGGAGCUAAUACCGGAUAACAUUUUCUCUUGCAUAAGAGAAAAUUGAAAGAUGGUUUCGGCUAUCACUUACAGAUGGGCCCGCGGUGCAUUAGCUAGUUGGUGAGGUAACGGCUCACCAAGGCAACGAUGCAUAGCCGACCUGAGAGGGUGAUCGGCCACACUGGGACUGAGACACGGCCCAGACUCCUACGGGAGGCAGCAGUAGGGAAUCUUCCGCAAUGGACGAAAGUCUGACGGAGCAACGCCGCGUGAGUGAUGAAGGCUUUCGGGUCGUAAAACUCUGUUGUUAGGGAAGAACAAGUACAAGAGUAACUGCUUGUACCUUGACGGUACCUAACCAGAAAGCCACGGCUAACUACGUGCCAGCAGCCGGUAAAUA